CCUACGGGAGGCAGCAGUGAGGAAUAUUGGUCAAUGGACGAGAGUCUGAACCAGCCAAGUAGCGUGAAGGAUGACUGCCCUAUGGGUUGUAAACUUCUUUUAUAUGGGAAUAAAAUGUUCCUCGGGUGGGGUUUUGUAUGUACCAUAUGAAUAAGGAUCGGCUAACUCCGUGCCAGCAGCCGCGGUAAUACGGAGGAUCCGAGCGUUAUCCGGAUUUAUUGGGUUUAAAGGGAGCGUAGGUGGAUUGUUAAGUCAGUUGUGAAAGUUUGCGGCUCAACCGUAAAAUUGCAGUUGAAACUGGCAGUCUUGAGUACAGGAAGGGUGGGCGGAAUUCGUGGUGUAGCGGUGAAAUGCUUAGAUAUCACGAAGAACUCCGAUUGCGAAGGCAGUUCACUGGACUGCAACUGACACUGAGGCUCGAAAGUGUGGGUAUCAAACAGGAUUAGAUACCCUAGUAGUC
rnacentral:rRNA from 1 species